GGGGAUUUAGCUCAGUGGUGUAGAGCACUUGCCUAGCAAGCACAAGGUUCUAGGUUCAGUCCUCAGUUCUCG
rnacentral:tRNA from 1 species